rnacentral:misc_RNA from 1 species
CAUGCAUGUUUGUCUUUCUCCUUGAUGUACAGCUUGCAAAUUUCUCCCAGUUAUCAAUGUUGGGUUUUGAGUUCAAGUGUUACAAUGAAUUCUGUUUGUUCUUGAGAGUUAUUACCCAUCUGACAAUGCUAUUGCCCAUUUAGCCUCCUUUUCCAGUCCCCCUUAACAUUCAUGAUCAAUGCCUUGUAUUUCUUCUGUUAAGCUUUUAUGGGAUGACAUCCUAUAUAAUCCAAUUCUUGGGAUAUGUUUGCAUUGUUUACAGGAAGGACAAAUUUCUUGACUCUGUUCUCAUGAGGACCUUUAGAUGAGAACAUGAAUAUGAUUGACUUAAUUUCAUAUGAGGUAGUUAAAGGGUACAGUCCAUACUUAAUUUCAUAUGAGGUAGUUAAAGGGUACAGUCCAUACUUAAUUUCAUAUGAGGUAGUUAAAGGGUACAGUCCAUCCACAGGUGUUCUUAGUUAAUGAGGGACAAAGUGUUUGAAGUGACAAACUAAGAGAGGAUGAAUAAUUGUGUGAUGAAUAUAUAUCAAUUCUUACAAAUAUAAAAUCUAUUUGUUUCACUUAUAAACUACAGAAAUUGCAAAAUUCUAGCAGUGUCCUUUACCUGUUUUUAAAGAACAUUUAACUCAUCAAGUUUCAUCAUAUAGCCUUUGUUCAUCCAAACAUUCUGUUUAAAGAGCUUGAUCUAGUUUGUUUACUUUCUCUCAUUCUCUCCAUACAAUCAUAAGUUUUUUGUCUUUUGUGUAUCUUUUCAGUCCAAGAUGAUAAUAGGAAAGAGAAGGUAAAAAGAAAAUUAACUAAAUAGAUAUGAACAACUGGGUAUAUUGACUGUUAUUGUUAAUCCAUGAUGGAGGCUGAUUUUUAUAACAAGCUUUUGAUUCUGAUUUAUGUUUUCCGUCAAGAUUUUCAUACUGCAUCGCAUCCACUUUACCUUUGCAGGUUUGUCCUAUUUGCUCUGUUAAAGUUGCAUGGGACAUGCUAAGUCAUAUCACAUAUUCACAUUACAACAUGGAUACUUGUUUAAUAUGUCCUUAAAAUGGAGAUUUCCAUAAGCGAAUGUUUUUGUUUUUUGAGAAGUAUAUUGAUAAUGCUGAUCUUAUGCCCAUUAACAAAAUAAAAUUAUUUUUCAAGUUUCCUUUAACUGGAGAUUACUUGCAGAGACGUCACAAAUUACGUAGAGUUGCAAUUCCCAAUGGCCAGGCAUUGUCUCUGCUUGGAUUAGAUCUUCGUGAGGCUCAUUUACAAGUGCUCUGAGGGGGUGGUGGAUAUAGGUCAAGCAAUGCUAAUGUGUCUAAUGCAGCUACUGACCCAUUCCUUUCAUCACUUAUUUUGAAUUUCCCUGCAUCUGAAGCUGAAGAAAUUUCGAAAUCUGUGGCAACAAGUGUGGAAGAUAGUCCUGC